UCACUAGUCACUAAACCAAACGCAUGAAAUCAACAAGGCAAAAACAUUUUUAACAAUACGUAGCUCUUGAGAUCGACCUCAACGAGGAGCUAGUGCAAUACUAAACGCAGAUCUAAUAAUCCUUAGGCCAUACAAACAGUACAUGGAAACUAUUAACUCUAUGAUUCGUACUACUUGAGAAUUUCAAAAGAAAAAAAAAAAUCGAAGUCAGAUCAGUUUCCACGAUCAGUCAACAGCCAACCACGAUUCGCCGGAGAACACUAGACUCAUGCAAAACAAACUCCGAUCGGAGCGAGAAUCUCACCGGAAAACAUCCCAGCAACUAUCCAUUCCUUCGAUCGGCUCCGGGAACCCGUCCUUGGCGUAGACACUUCGGUACACAGGUCCAACGGAUGGUCUUCCAUCGCUACCUUCUUUGCCUUCUUCGACUUGGAAGAUGAAUUUCUCCGGCUGCUGCGUCAUGAUCGAUCUCUCUCUUUCUCUCUCUAGAAGACUAGAACUUUCUCUCUGCUCUUUGUAAACGAGUUGAAGAGAGGUGUAGGGACCACGCGGCUUUACGGAUCGGAGUUAUAAUAAAGACCUACGAAUGCAGAUUUCACCACGUGGAGUACUUGCAAGAGCAUCAUAUUCCAUUUCGGGUACAGAUUCAAGGCGUAUAUCCACGUUUGGCACUGGUGGUCCAACUGUCCCGAGCAUGUCCAGUCGAUCCGGCAGCGAGACGAAAGUUCCAGCACAGCUCUCGGUUAGACCUACAAAAGAACAAUCAUACAACAGGAAAGCAGUCAAAUCACAUUCUCUGUUAAUAUGGAAUCAAAUAUACUGUAACACUCAAUUUUGGGAAUGGGUACCGUAUCCUUGAAGAACAUGACAGCAAGCCACCACUCUUAGAAAUGACUCUACGUGACUAGCGAGAGGAGCAGCUCCCGAUAGAAUGAUCCUCACAUUGCCUCCGAGCCCUUGUUUAACCUAAGUGAGAAAACAAUGGGAUAAAUUUGCUAUAAAGUUUCAUAACAAAGAGUGACUGGUUCUCCAGAUGGUUUUCUAAUGAGUUUAGUUUAAUAUAGAACUUUACUACCUUGCUGAAUACAAGUUUGUCACAUAAUGGAGAGGCCUCUACAUGAGACUGUCCUUUCUUCAUAUGUCCAUAUUUACUGAUGAUGUUUUGAAUAUGUUAGAUUUAAUAGCUUAGAGAACAGAUAAGCAAAGUUACGUCUGACUUACAAGGAAAAUGCAGAAUCAAACAUAAACUUUUUGAAGAAUCCACCAGCAGCAAGCUUCUGCUGAAGACCUGUUGAAUAUAAUAUGUCGACGUAUUAAAACACGGAAAAGUUAUCAAAGAGAAGAAAUUAUGUAAGUCAAUGAUAUGAAAUUCAAUUAAUGUCUCGAAGAAUAAUUAAGUUGUACAUAAUGAUAAAAAAUGAGACAACCACCAAAGAAGAAAGACUGAAAAGCUUAUCACAAGUAUUCUUGUCGAAUUAAUUAUAGUAUUCACAUUCGAUAUAUCUCAUCACAACUCGUAAUACUUUCAUGCAAGAGUGUUAGGUGGUAUAAAUGUAGUUGUUUAAGAUAAGCAAAUGAUACUAGAGCACAAUUCAAUGAGGUGAGGAAUUGAGUAUACAUACGCAUGAGGCAUUUCAAACGUCUUACCUGAGUAAACUCUAUCUAGCACACGAGGUACAGCGCAGAAAAUAGUUGGUUUAAGCUCGCCAAGGUCUUCUAUCAACAGCUUGACAUCCUGUGGAGAUAACCCAUAGAAGGUUAACGUAAAAUUUUCAAAACUGGUUUACAUAAUAAGCUUUAAGCUGUACUGACCCCACGCCAGAAGCCAAUUGCAGCACCAUGUUGGAUAAAACACUCCUCGAUAACUCGGUCAAAGAUGUGGGCCAGAGGAAGGUAAGAAAGGUAAACAUCUUUCACAGUCAACUGUUGAUUUGCACAGCCAAAUGAAAAUCGAUUAUAAUAAGAGCCAAGUGACAAGGGAAACUAGAAGAUUUGAGCGUCUUUAUGAAUCAUAACAACUGCAUGAAAGCAAGCAGGAAACUCACGGCUUCGUUAGCGCUUUUCAGUAGACGGAUCACUCCAGCGAUAAGGGUAACAAUGCUUUCGUUAGAUAUCAUCACUCCUUUUGGAUCACCAGUGGCUCCACUAGUAUACAUAAUCGUGCAAAUGUCACUCUUCUUCUUGAUUGGAAGAUCAAACUGCUUUUCUUCGCCCUGGAAGAAAUAUUUCCAAUUUUCAUGGUAAGCAUAGUUGUUAGACUACUCACCACUGGAAAGAGAUAUCACAGAAUCAGUACGUUUCAGAAAAACCAAACGAAAAGUCUCAUACCAGCUUCAAAAAGUCAUCCCAAGCAUAAAUAACCAACCCAAAAGUUUCAGCUGCUUCUUUUUGUUCACGUGUGACACCACCAAAGCUCACAACGGCUGUAUUUAUAACCAAGCACAACUGAUCAUUAGCAACAAAUGUUAAAAGCCAAAAAGGAAGAAACACAAAUAAGAAUAACUCACUCUUCAUGUACUCUGUCGCGUUUGGGCAUGUCUUAAAUAACUAAUAGUAAAAAGAACAAAAAAAGGAAGUGGUGAGAAAUAGAUAGUUAAUAAAUUUAAACAAUGAAGAUAUAUUAACACUGUACCUCAGAGAUCUUCUUCUCCUCCACAAAGACAAUUGAAACCUCAGAAUGGGUAAUAAUGAACUCCACAGCACCAGCGCCUAGUGUAUCAUACAAAGGAACACAAUAGAGUCCAUGUGCAUUGCACGCCUGCACCAAAAAAAGAGCACUGUCAAUCCUCUAACCAAAAACACAAUCCAUGAUAGUACAAUGAUCCAGCCGCAAGAUUACCUCCAUACUUAUGAUCCACUCAGGAGAAUUAGCACCAUAGAUACCACAUUUUGCUUGCUAAACUCCCCCACAUGAACAAACACAAGAUUAAGCAACGGAAUAACCACAUUCCGGCGAAUGAACAGGAAAUGACUAGACUGAAGAUGGAUAAAGGAAGGAUUUAAAUGGAUCUUAACCUCCUCAACUCCACAAUUUCUGAGAGCAUUUCCGAGUUUUAUGACAAUAUCGUAGACUUCUUGGUACGUUUGCCAUACAUACUUCCCAGGCUGAGCACAAUUAAAAACACAAGUAAAUACAUCGAUAAUAAAUCUCUUAACCGAAAAUACCAAAAAGAAAAAACAGAGUAGACAACACCUUUCCGUCUACAAUCUCACGGCGGCCAAGCAUCUGAUUGUUUGGAUACUUCUCAACAGCCAUCCUGCAAACGAGAAGGAAAGCAAUCUCACUAGUCACUAAACCAAACGCAUGAAAUCAACAAGGCAAAAACAUUUUUAACAAUACGUAGCUCUUGAGAUCGACCUCAACGAGGAGCUAGUGCAAUACUAAACGCAGAUCUAAUAAUCCUUAGGCCAUACAAACAGUACAUGGAAACUAUUAACUCUAUGAUUCGUACUACUUGAGAAUUUCAAAAGAAAAAAAAAAAUCGAAGUCAGAUCAGUUUCCACGAUCAGUCAACAGCCAACCACGAUUCGCCGGAGAACACUAGACUCAUGCAAAACAAACUCCGAUCGGAGCGAGAAUCUCACCGGAAAACAUCCCAGCAACUAUCCAUUCCUUCGAUCGGCUCCGGGAACCCGUCCUUGGCGUAGACACUUCGGUACACAGGUCCAACGGAUGGUCUUCCAUCGCUACCUUCUUUGCCUUCUUCGACUUGGAAGAUGAAUUUCUCCGGCUGCUGCGUCAUGAUCGAUCUCUCUCUUUCUCUCUCUAGAAGACUAGAACUUUCUCUCUGCUCUUUGUAAACGAGUUGAAGAG
rnacentral:lncRNA from 1 species